AUACGGGGGGGGCAAGCGUUGUUCGGAUUUACUGGGCGUAAAGAGCUCGUAGGCGGCUUGUUUAGUCGGACGUGAAAUCCCUCGGCUCAACUGAGGAACUGCGUCCGAUACUGGCAGGCUUGAAUCCGGGAGAGGGAUGCGGAAUUCCAGGUGUAGCGGUGAAAUGCGUAGAUAUCUGGAGGAACACCGGUGGCGAAGGCGGCAUCCUGGACCGGUAUUGACGCUGAGGAGCGAAAGCCAGGGUAGCAAACGGGAUUAGAAACCCCGGUAGUCC
rnacentral:rRNA from 1 species